rnacentral:rRNA from 1 species
CCUGGGGAGUACGCCGGCAACGGUGAAACUCAAAGGAAUUGACGGGGGCCCGCACAAGCGGAGGAACAUGUGGUUUAAUUCGAUGAUACGCGAGGAACCUUACCCGGGAUUGAAAUGUAGAUGACGGAUGGUGAAAACCGUCUUCCCUUCGGGGCGUCUAUGUAGGUGCUGCAUGGUUGUCGUCAGCUCGUGCCGUGAGGUGUCGGCUUAAGUGCCAUAACGAGCGCAACCCACAUCGGUAGUUGCUAACAGUUUUCGCUGAGGACUCUACCGAGACUGCCGUCGUAAGGCGUGAGGAAGGUGUGGAUGACGUCAAAUCAGCACGGCCCUUACAUCCGGGGCGACACACGUGUUACAAUGGGAGGGACAAAGGGCAGCUACCAGGCGACCGGAUGCGAAUCUCUAAACCCUUCCCCAGUUCGGAUCGGAGUCUGCAACUCGACUCCGUGAAGCUGGAUUCGCUAGUAAUCGCGCAUCAGCCAUGGUGCGGUGAAUACGUUCCCGGGCCUUGUACACACCGCCCGUCAAGCCAUGGGAGUCGGGGGUACCUGAAGGGCGUAACCGCAAGGGGCGCACUAGGGUAAUUCCGGUGACUGGGGCUAAGUCGUAACAAGGUAGCCG